UAGCAUCAAUACUAGAAUCAACUAGUCCAUGACCUGUUAAAUGAAUAAUUUGAUAGUCUUGAAGUAAUGCUUCUAAAUUUUCACGUAUAGCUUGAUUAAGCUUUUUACUACCUAAGCUACCACCCAUGACGAGUAAUACUUUUUUUGAGGCGUCGAAACCUGUUAACUGGUAUCC
rnacentral:ncRNA from 21 species